AACUCAUGUUGAGGGAAAUGUCGUAACAAUCUCUUGUAACUCCCCCAAGCUUCGUAUAACGACUCCCCUUCUAAUUGUUGAAAAGUAUGUAUCUUUUUUUUUUAAGCU